rnacentral:rRNA from 1 species
UAAUACGUAGGUGGCGAGCGUUGUCCGGAAUUACUGGGCGUAAAGGAUGCGUAGGUGGAUACUUAAGUGGGAUGUGAAAUCCCCGGGCUCAACCCGGGAACUGCAUUCCAAACUGGGUAUCUAGAGUGCAGGAGAGGAAAGCGGAAUUCCUAGUGUAGCGGUGAAAUGCGUAGAUAUUAGGAGGAACACCAGUGGCGAAGGCGGCUUUCUGGACUGUAACUGACACUGAGGCAUGAAAGCGUGGGUAGCAAACAGG